AUACAAACAAAAAAGUUGGUGGGUCUUGGUGUGCCCUCAACCCUGGUGGGCAGCUGGCAUCAAAUCAAAUCAAAUGUUUAUUUAGAUUGGCAGUGCAAUAGACCCUAACAACACAAUGGAUAGGGCGAGUUCAUGUUGACAUAGUUGAGUAACAAGAUUCUGACAUGUAAUUGGUCUCUGUGAUAUCAUGGAGGGAGGCAGUAUCAGUCUUGAGAUUUUAGUGUUACUAAAGAAAGCAGGUUGGUGUCUACGGUCAUGUAUAAAGGAUAUUGUUCGUAUGAAUGUGAUCGCCAACAGUGCGUCAGAUGCUGAGCUUCUCAGUGUUGUAUAAUGGUUGUGGAAGGUCCCCGCAACGUAAUCAGAAUGAGCGGUUAAAAGGAACCUAAUCUUAAGUGAUACCCAGAUAUGGAUUGAAGUCUAGAAAUUCCUCUUGCAAUUGGAGUGGGUUACCUGCAUAUAUUACAGAAUCAGGCGAGUGGUGCCAAUGCAGAUUAGAAUGGUAUGAAAUCCAGUGACUGACUGUAGUAAAGGACUUAUGAAGUGAUGGUUGUUCUUUGUAAUCUGUGAUGGUCUUUGCCACUGGAUUCCUCAGUGAUGUUCAGCACCUGGUCUUUGCCAUCUAGCACUGGUCUUUGCCAUUGGAUUCUUCAGUGAUGUCAUCUAGGACCAUUGGUUUAACACAACCUGAAAAUAAGUUAUCAAUAUUAGAUAAUGUACUAUUAUGUAUACAUUAGUUUAAUAAAUGAUUAUUGAAA